UACGUAGGGAGCGAGCGUUGUCCGGAUUCAUUGGGCGUAAAGAGCUCGUAGGCGGUUCGGUAAGUCGGAUGUGAAACCCCCAGGCUCAACCUGGGGCCGCCAUCCGAUACUGCCGUGACUCGAGUCCGGUAGGGGCCCACGGAACUCCUGGUGUAGCGGUGAAAUGCGCAGAUAUCAGGAGGAACACCGAUGGCGAAGGCAGGUCUCUGGGCAUUAACUGACGCUGAGGAGCGAAAGCAUGGGGAGCGAACAGG
rnacentral:rRNA from 1 species